rnacentral:tRNA from 1 species
GUGGUUGUAGCUCAGUGGUAGAGCGUCUGGUUGUGGUCCAGAAGGUCGCGGGUCCGAUCCCCGUCAUCCACCCCA